GAUCCUGGCUCAGGAUGAACGCUAGCGACAGGCCUAACACAUGCAAGUCGAGGGGCAGCGGAGAGGUAGCAAUACCUUUGCCGGCGACCGGCGCACGGGUGAGUAACACGUAUGCAAUCCACCUGUAACAGGGGGAUAACCCGGAGAAAUCCGGACUAAUACCCCAUAAUAUGGGCGCUCCGCAGUGGAGACGCCCUAAUUAAAGAGAGACUUAAGUUUUUGGUACAGACGAGCAUGCGCUCCUAUUACG
rnacentral:rRNA from 1 species